GAUGAACGCUGGCGGCGUGCCUAAUACAUGCAAGUCGAGCGAACAGAUGAGGAGCUUGCUCCUCUGACGUUAGCGGCGGACGGGUGAGUAACACGUGGAUAACCUACCUAUCAGACUGGGAUAACCUCGGAACACCGGAGCUAAUCCGGGAGAAUCUCUUGAACCGCGUGGUUCAAUAGUAAAAGACGGUUUUUGGGUCACUUAUAGCUGGAUCCGCGCCGCAUUAGCUAGUUGGUAAGGUAACGGCUUACCAAGGCAACGAUGCGUAGACGACGUGAGAGAGUGGUAGGCGACCCGGGAACUGGGACACGGUCCAGGCUACUACGGGAGGCACCAGUAGGGUAUCUGACGCAAAGGGCGAAAGCCUGACGGAGCAACGCCGCGUGAGUGAUGACGGUCUUCGGAGCGUAAAACUCUGCUAUUAGGGAAGAACAAAUGUGUAAGUAACUAUGCACGUCUUGACGGUACCUAAUCAGAAAGCAACGGCUAACUACGUG
rnacentral:rRNA from 1 species